GACGAACGCUGGCGGCGUGCUUAACACAUGCAAAUCGAACGGAAAGGCCCUGCUUGCAGGGUACUCGAGUGGCGAACGGGUGAGUAACACGUGGGUGAUCUGCCCUGCACUUCGGGAUAAGCCUGGGAAACUGGGUCUAAUACCGGAUAGGAGCCAUUUUUAGUGUGAUGGUUGGAAAGUUUUUUCGGUGUAGGAUGAGCUCGCGGCCUAUCAGCUUGUUGGUGGGGUAAUGGCCUACCAAGGCGGCGACGGGUAGCCGGCCUGAGAGGGUGGACGGCCACAUUGGGACUGAGAUACGGCCCAGACUCCUACGGGAGGCAGCAGUGGGGAAUAUUGCACAAUGGGCGCAAGCCUGAUGCAGCGACGCCGCGUGGGGGAUGACGGCCUUCGGGUUGUAAACUCCUUUCGCUAGGGACGAAGCUUUUUGUGACGGUACCUAGAUAAGAAGCACCGGCUAACUACGU
rnacentral:rRNA from 1 species